GACGAACGCUGGCGGCGUGCUUAACACAUGCAAGUCGAACGCUGAAGCUCAGCUUUUGUUGGGUGGAUGAGUGGCGAACGGGUGAGUAACACGUGAGUAACCUGCCUCCUUCUUUGGGAUAACGCCCGGAAACGGGUGCUAAUACUGGAUAUUCACUGGUCUUCGCAUGGGGGUCGGUGGAAAGGGUUUUUCUGGUGGGGGAUGGGCUCGCGGCCUAUCAGCUUGUUGGUGGGGUGAUGGCCUACCAAGGCUUUGACGGGUAGCCGGCCUGAGAGGGUGACCGGUCACAUUGGGACUGAGAUACGGCCCAGACUCCUACGGGAGGCAGCAGUGGGGAAUAUUGCACAAUGGGCGCAAGCCUGAUGCAGCGACGCCGCGUGAGGGAUGGAGGCCUUCGGGUUGUGAACCUCUUUCGCUCAUGGUCAAGCCGCAACAAUGGUUGUGGUGAGGGUAGUGGGUAAAGAAGCGCCGGCUAACUACGUG
rnacentral:rRNA from 1 species